rnacentral:rRNA from 1 species
GGACGAACGCUGGCGGCGUGCCUAACACAUGCAAGUCGAGCGGGGACAUGCGACGGAUAGGAAGAUUUCGGUUGGACUUGAAGAUGCAUUGUUCUAGCGGCGGACGGGUGAGUAACGCGUGAGCAACCUGUCCCUUACAGGGGGAUAACACAGCGAAAGUUGUACUAAUACCGCAUAAGACCACGGGAGGACAUCCUUCAGGGGUCAAAGGAGGAAUCCGGUAAGGGGUGGGCUCGCGUCCGAUUAGAUAGUUGGUGAGGUAACGGCCCACCAAGUCGACGAUCGGUAGCCGACCUGAGAGGGUGAUCGGCCACAUUGGGACUGAGACACGGCCCAAACUCCUACGGGAGGCAGCAGUGGGGAAUAUUGGGCAAUGGGGGGAAACCCUGACCCAGCAACGCCGCGUGAGGGAAGAAGGUUUUCGGAUCGUAAACCUCUGUCCUUGGUGAAGAGGAAGAGACGGUAGCCAAGGAGGAAGCCCCGGCUAACUACGUGCCAGCCGCCGC